GUAAUAAUAUACCCCUGUAUAGUUGGUUGUAAGAUAAUAUCAUUGUUAUAUAUAAUACUGUAUGUUCCAAAUAUAUAUAUAAAUAAGAGGUUUGACUUACGCAAAGGCCAAAGUUAGGUGAUACCUUGGUGGUGACGUCACAGUUCGAUACAAAAAGAAAUGUGGAGUGACAAUACAAUACAUGUAGUUAUCCAUUAAUAACUAUUCAUGUCGCUGGAGCGAUGCUGCAGCCGGAAGGGAGCAGGUUAAAAUGUCAGUUAGCGGAAGAGAAUAAAUAGAUGCCAUGGCGGCAACGUCGCUCCUGCGUCAUCAUCAGUGACGUACUCAUCCAGCCACGUAACAACGCCUCCUUAGCGUGUAACAUUGGUGACCCUGAUUUCAGCUGAUGAUUAAAAACACUGACACUGCAGGGUUUAGACGGAUUUUUUUAUUUUUUUUAUUUAAAUUACAGAAUGAGUCGUUUGGUCUGUUAGUGUCAUGGAAAAUUCUUUACUUGGACUUUUCCCUGCCGUGCCCCGAGGCAGAAAAACCUGCCCCAGUCUUAACGGUGUGUGGGUGAAUUUAAGGGUAACAAGUAGAAUAUUUGUUUGAGGUUUAGAUGGUUAAAGGUAUCAGGUGUCAUGGACGGAUUUAGUGGAUAGAUUUCAGCCACUGAUGCAACCCUCCGUGCGUCAUUCCCCUUAAUGUAUCCACAUGGGGCAGAGCAACGGCUAACAACAGCUAACACUGUUGACCCCGCUCUCAGCUGGUGAUUAACUACAUCUGUGACGCAGCAUCUGAAGGGAAACAGAACCAGAUUUGAGGGAUAAUGUUACUUAAACAGUCGCGGCUGCAGUCAGGCUUCGAAGGAAGGGUUGGAUUUGGAUCUUAAAACAUUGAUUGAUUAAAGUGUAAUUAAAUGACCUUGAAACAUAUCUACAGGACGCACGUAGACUCAAAAGUCUCAUUUAUUUUAUUAAUUAUUCAAAUUGUAGCCAGUAGUUAACCUCUGUGUCAGGGGUUAAAGAUUUGGUCUUGUAAUCAGAAGAUUGUGAUUCUGAUGCUGAACUUGGUAGGGCUGAAGUGUGUCGAGGGAGUAGCCCCCCAGGAGCUGCUGCUGUGCCCCCAGCACACACACACACAUCACUCUGAACAAUAAUGAACACAGUUAUGUGAUACUAAAAUACUGCAAAUGACAAUUAAAAAUAAUAAAAUACAUAAAUGUACCCAACGUUAAUAUGAGGUUAAGUGCAAAUAUUUGGAAUACUUGCAAGGGUAUGAAUAAUGCAAUGUUUAAUGUUCAAUUAAUAACCAGUGCAAUAUAAUAAAAAGACCAGUAACCUUUUAAUGCAGUUUUUAAAAAAAUGAAAUGUGUUUAUUUUUUUGAGUGUAAAGAAAAUGCGUUCAGUCCAGGCUGAAAAUUGUUUGAUUAUUUUACAAAUUAUAUGUCAUCUGUGAUUAAUUUAAUCCCACCAGCAGGUGGCACUCCGGGUGUCAAUCUCUGUGGCCAAUGCUUGUAGCCAGAUGUGCCUAAUAAGAAAGAGACUUAUCUGAUAUCUCAUACUGAAAACGGAGCUGCAGAGAGGGAAGAGGAGAAACGAACAAAUCCAUCUGCAGCUGAGGAGGAACAAAAAGGGGGCAGAUCUUUGAUGUUGCUCCGUCUCCAUGGUCACAACCAGGGAUUUUUUUCACAAAGGCCUUGGAUUGUUUCGGCGUGUUCUCCUUUCAUUUGAAGCAGACUAAAUGACAGGACGUCUGUGUCUUUGCUUCCUGUCGAUGAUCACCGACUCUUCUCUGCAGCUCAGCCUGGUGUUAAUUAGUCCCUGCUCACAUAUUUGAGUUUCCAGAGUGGAGCUGUGGUAUCGCUAUAGGUGGCUGUAAAGCCAGCCGCCGGCUUUUCAGGUCUCCUGUGGCGUCCACCGCACACCAUCAGUCUAAUGCAAUCAAGUCCAGCACCUGCCUGAGACACAGCACCCACUACAACAGAGCCUCUGUUGUCCCGGUGCAGAGACACAGGACUCCUGUUUCCUGGGAUCAGGAGGUGAUGUGAAGAAAUGACAGAUGAGAGGGAAGGCUUGGAGUUUCCUCACUGAGGCCCAAACUCCAUCACAGGCAAGUUUCUACUCCUACACAGUUAAAAUCUCCAGAAUCCACUCAGUCGGUGCUUACCUUAGGAUCAAGAUUCACC